rnacentral:rRNA from 1 species
CCAGCAGUUGCGGUUAAACGAAUGAUAUAAAUAAAUUUUAUUAGUAAAAGUUAUAUAAAUAUAAUUUUAUAAAAAUAUUUUUAAUUUAUUAGGUGAAAUUUUAAAUUUAAUUAAUAUUUAUUUAUAUUAAUUGAAGCUUGAAAAUUUUAUUAAUAAACUAGGAUUAGAUACCCUAUUAUUUAAAAUGUAAUUAUUAUACUAAAGUAUUAUUAGUUAUAUUCUUUAAAUUUAAAAAAUUUGGCGGUAUUUUAGUCUAUUCAGAGGAACCUGUUCUAUAAUCGAUAUUCCACGAUGGACCUCACUUAAUUUAUCUUUAGUUUAUAUAUCGUCGUUAUUAGAAUAUUUUAUAAGAAUAAUAAUUUUCUAAAAUUUUUAUAAAAAUUUAUAUCAGAUCAAGGUGUAGCUUAUAUUUAAGAAGAAAUGGGUUACAAUAAAUUUAUUUAUAUGAAUAUAAUAAUGAAAAAAUUAUUGAAAUUGGAUUUGAUAGUAAAAUUAUAUAGAUUAAUAAUUUGAUUUAUAGCUCUAAAAUAUGU